AAUAAGCUAAAUAAAGCUAUUGGGUUCAUACCCCGAAAAUGGAUCGCCCCCCUUUUAUC
rnacentral:tRNA from 1 species